rnacentral:rRNA from 1 species
UACGUAGGGAGCAAGCGUUGUCCGGAAUCAUUGGGCGUAAAGCGCGCGUAGGUGGCUUCGUAAGUCCGUUGUGAAAGUCAAAGGCUCAACCUUUGAAAGCCGAUGGAUACUGUGGAGCUAGAGUACGGAAGAGGCGAGUGGAAUUCCUGGUGUAGCGGUGGAAUGCGCAGAUAUCAGGAGGAACACCAAUAGCGAAGGCAGCUCGCUGGGACGUUACUGACACUGAGGCGCGAAAGCGUGGGGAGCGAAACAGG